rnacentral:rRNA from 1 species
AAUCAACGCUGGCGGCGUGCCUAACACAUGCAAGUCGAACGCGAAAACCCCGCAAGGGGUUAGUAGAGUGGCAAACGGGUGAGUAACACGUGGGUGACCUGCCUUCGAGUGGGGGAUAACGUCCCGAAAGGGACGCUAAUACCGCAUGACAUCCUGCUUUUGGAAAAGCGGAGAUCAAAGCUGGGGAUCGUAAGACCUGGCGCUUGAAGAGGGGCCCGCGCCUGAUUAGCUAGUUGGGGGGUAACGGCCUACCAAGGCGACGAUCAGUAUCCGGCCUGAGAGGGCGGACGGACACACUGGGACUGAGACACGGCCCAGACUCCUACGGGAGGCAGCAGUGGGGAAUUGUUCGCAAUGGGCGCAAGCCUGACGACGCAACGCCGCGUGGAGGACGAAGAUC